rfam:Ciona savignyi cont_65799, whole genome shotgun sequence.
UAAACGGCUCUUUUUAGAGCCACCAAACUUUACAAAAGGGAAAUACU